rnacentral:tRNA from 1 species
GCCUUCGUGGUGUAAUGGUCAGCACGCUCGGAACUUAGCGAGAGGUCCGAGGUUCAAAUCCCGGCGAGGGCA